rnacentral:RNase_P_RNA from 2 species
GUUCUGCGUUAGGCAGUCGCCCGACACACUUACGAGUGUGACGGGAGGAAAGUCCGGACACGCCCAUCGCAAGAUGGAGGAUGGUAGCGGGUAACGCCCGCCGUGCGCAAGCAUAGGGAUGCGAACAGAGACGCCCGAGCCGAGAGGCGAGGGGAUCCCCGCCCGACCGAAUGGCUUCGGUCAUUCGGGCAGGCGCAAGGAUCAGCUCCAGUGGAAACAUCGGAGGUGCAACGGCAAAAAUCCUACCUGCGUGCAAGGCCGUGCUCUGUGGGAUACACCAAUUGGAUAUCUCACGGAGAGAGCCGCUUGACCCUGAGAGUAAUUGAAGGGCUAGAUAAAUGGCUGUCCCCGACAGAAUCCGGCUUAUGACGCAGUGAACCC